rnacentral:tRNA from 1 species
GCGAACGGGCGAACGGGCUGGUCAGCGAGCACCCUCCGAUCAGCUUCCCAAGCUGAGAACGCGGGUUCGAUUCCCGUCAUCCGCUCCA